ensembl:processed_transcript AI606473 expressed sequence AI606473
AGAGAGAGAGAGAGACUGGUGCGGAAUGCUGGCUCCAGCAGGUCGGGCGUUGGACCGACUCCCUGGAUGAGGAACUAAAACUAGAGUCUAGCUUGGAGAAUUACUUACAGUCUUUUGUGCUAAGUAUUGCAACGUAACUCUGAAGUUCCCUUUGCCUGCUAGCGAGAAUGGUCUGUGCCGGUCAUCUGGAGAGCCCAGCGCGCUAGAGCUUUUGGGGGACAUAGGGAGGGGGCGCCGUCGUGUACGCCGCCUUUCCACCCACCCUCGCCUAAUCAGGCUGCUCUCAAUCAGGUUUUCAACAUACUAAUCUUGAUCUGAGAGCUCCUAUCUCUGCAUAAGUGGAGGAAAUGAUUCUUUUUUAGAGGCUUCCGGGCUUAGAGAAGGAGGACGUCAGACUGGAGUCUAAAGGGCUGGUCUGGCGUCCGCCCUGCUCCCGGCGCCCGGCGGGACUGCGAACUCACCAGCAGCAUAAUUGCCUGUGUCCAGCGCGCUCCAGGGGCUACCCCGUGGUAAGUGCGUUCCCUGUCCUGGCGACCGACCGAGGCUUUGGCUUAGGGUUUGGGCUGGAGAUGGGCGGAGCAGAAAGUGAAAGUUUUUACUAGGAAAGUCAAGGCUGAGUUGUGGGGUCUUGGGCCUAAUGACCUUCUGACCCUGCAUAUACCACUUGCUUAAAAAAUGUUUAGCUUCUCCAUGCCCGCAGGCAAACUAGAACUCACUGCUCCUCGGAUCAGACAGAGAAAAAGUUCGCCUUCUGUUCUUUCCACAUUUAAGUGUUUGAGGUAAAAUUUACAAAGCACUUUUC